rnacentral:rRNA from 1 species
AGCGAACGCUGGCGGCAGGCCUAACACAUGCAAGUCGAACGAACCUUUCGGGGUUAGUGGCGGACGGGUGAGUAACACGUGGGAACGUGCCUUUAGGUUCGGAAUAACUCAGGGAAACUUGUGCUAAUACCGAAUGUGCCCUUCGGGGGAAAGAUUUAUCGCCUUUAGAGGGGCCGGCGUCGGAUUAGCUAGUUGGUUAAGGUAAUGGCUCACCAAGGCUAGAAUGAGUAGCUGGUCUGAGAGAAGGAGCAGCCACAUUGGGACGGGGCCACGGCCCAAACUCCUACGGGAGGCAGCAGAGGGGAAUCUUGCGAAAUGGGCGAAAGGCUGACGCAGCCAGGCCGCGUGAAUGAUGAAGGUCUUAGGAUUGUAAAAUUCUUUAACCGGGGACGAUAAUGACGGUACCCGGAGAAGAAGCCCCGGCUAACUUCGUG